GACGAACGCUGGCGGCGUGCUUAACACAUGCAAGUCGAACGGAAAGGCCCUGCUUUUGUGGGGUGCUCGAGUGGCGAACGGGUGAGUAACACGUGAGUAACCUGCCCUUGACUUUGGGAUAACUUCAGGAAACUGGGGCUACUACCGGAUAGGAGCUCCUGCUGCAUUGUGGGGGUUGGAAAGUUUCGGCGGUUGGGGAUGGACUCGCGGCUUAUCAGCUUGUUGGUGGGGUAGUGACUUACCAAGGCUUUGACGGGUAGCCGGCCUGAGAGGGUGACCGGCCACAUUGGGACAGAGAUACGGCCCAGACUCCUACGGGAGGCAGCAGUGGUGAAUAAUGCACGAUAGGCGGAAGCAGGAUGCAGCAACGCCGCGUGCGGGAUGACGGCCUUCGGGUUGUAAACCGCUUGCGCCUGUGACGAAGCGUGAGUGACGGUAAUGGGUAAAGAAGCACCGGCUAACUACGUG
rnacentral:rRNA from 1 species